UAACAUGCAAGUCGAACGAUGAAGCCGGGGCUUGCUCUGGUGGAUUAGUGGCGAACGGGUGAGUAACACGUGAGCAACCUGCCCUGGACUCUGGGAUAAGCGCUGGAAACGGCGUCUAAUACUGGAUACGAGACGUGGCCGCAUGGUCAACGUUUGGAAAGAUUUUUCGGUCUGGGAUGGGCUCGCGGCCUAUCAGCUUGUUGGUGAGGUAAUGGCUCACCAAGGCGUCGACGGGUAGCCGGCCUGAGAGGGUGACCGGCCACACUGGGACUGAGACACGGCCCAGACUCCUACGGGAGGCAGCAGUGGGGAAUAUUGCACAAUGGGCGGAAGCCUGAUGCAGCAACGCCGCGUGAGGGAUGACGGCCUUCGGGUUGUAAACCUCUUUUAGCAGGGAAGAAGCGAAAGUGACGGUACCUGCAGAAAAAGCGCCGGCUAACUACGUGCCAGCAGCCGCGGUAAUACGUAGGGCGCAAGCGUUAUCCGGAAUUAUUGGGCGUAAAGAGCUCGUAGGCGGUUUGUCGCGUCUGCUGUGAAAUCCCGAGGCUCAACCUCGGGCCUGCAGUGGGUACGGGCAGACUAGAGUGCGGUAGGGGAGAUUGGAAUUCCUGGUGUAGCGGUGGAAUGCGCAGAUAUCAGGAGGAACACCGAUGGCGAAGGCAGAUCUCUGGGCCGUAACUGACGCUGAGGAGCGAAAGGGUGGGGAGCAAACAGGCUUAGAUACCCUGGUAGUCCACCCCGUAAACGUUGGGAACUAGUUGUGGGGUCCUUUCCACGGAUUCCGUGACGCAGCUAACGCAUUAAGUUCCCCGCCUGGGGAGUACGGCCGCAAGGCUAAAACUCAAAGGAAUUGACGGGGACCCGCACAAGCGGCGGAGCAUGCGGAUUAAUUCGAUGCAACGCGAAGAACCUUACCAAGGCUUGACAUACACGAGAACGGGCCAAAAAUGGUCAACUCUUUGGACACUCCUGAACAGGUGGUGCAUGGGUGUCGUCAG
rnacentral:rRNA from 1 species